rnacentral:rRNA from 1 species
UGGGGAAUUUUGGACAAUGGGCGAAAGCCUGAUCCAGCAAUGCCGCGUGUGUGAAGAAGGCCUUCGGGUUGUAAAGCACUUUUGUCCGGAAAGAAAUCCUUGGCUCUAAUACAGUCGGGGGAUGACGGUACCGGAAGAAUAAGCACCGGCUAACUACGUGCCAGCAGCCGCGGUAAUACGUAGGGUGCAAGCGUUAAUCGGAAUUACUGGGCGUAAAGCGUGCGCAGGCGGUUUGCUAAGACCGAUGUGAAAUCCCCGGGCUCAACCUGGGAACUGCAUUGGUGACUGGCAGGCUAGAGUAUGGCAGAGGGGGGUAGAAUUCCACGUGUAGCAGUGAAAUGCGUAGAGAUGUGGAGGAAUACCGAUGGCGAAGGCAGCCCCCUGGGCCAAUACUGACGCUCAUGCACGAAAAGCGUGGGGAGCAAAACAGGAUUAGAUACCCUGGUAGUCCACGCCCUAAAACGAUGUCAACUAGUUGUUGGGGAUUCAUUUCCUUAGUAACGUAGCUAACGCGUGAAGUUGACUGCCUGGGGAGUACGGUCGCAAGAUUAAAACUCAAAUGAAUUGACGGGGUCAUAGCUGUUUCCU